UACGUAGGGGGCAAGCGUUGUCCGGAAUUAUUGGGCGUAAAGAGCGUGUAGGCGGCCAGAUAAGUCCGCUGUGAAAUCUCGAGGCUCAACUUCGAGCUGUCGGUGGAAACUAUCUGGCUAGAGUCCGGAAGAGGAGAAUGGAAUUCCUGGUGUAGCGGUGAAAUGCGCAGAUAUCAGGAAGAACACCUAUGGCGAAGGCAGCUCUCUGGGACGGUACUGACGCUGAGACGCGAAAGCGUGGGGAGCGAACAGG
rnacentral:rRNA from 1 species